rnacentral:rRNA from 1 species
AGUGGCAGACGGGUGAGUAAUGUAUAGGAAUCUACCUAGUAGUACGGAAUAAUUGUUGGAAACGGCAACUAAUACCGUAUACGCCCUACGGGGGAAAAAUUUAUUGCUAUUAGAUGAGCCUAUAUUAGAUUAGUUAGUUGGUGAGGUAAAGGCUUACCAAGACAAUGAUCUAUAGCUGAUCUGAGAGGAUGAUCAGCCACACUGGAACUGAGAUACGGUCCAGACUCCUACGGGAGGCAGCAGUGGGGAAUAUUGGACAAUGGGCGAAAGCCUGAUCCAGCUAUGCCGCAUGAGUGAAGAAGGCCUUCGGGUUGUAAAGCUCUUUUAGUGAGGAAGAUAAUGACGGUACUCACAGAAGAAGUCCUGGCUAACUCCGUGCCAGCAGCCGCGGUAAUACGGAGAGGGCUAGCGUUAUUCGGAAUUAUUGGGCGUAAAGGGCGCGUAGGCGGAUUAGUAAGUUAAAAGUGAAAUCCCAAGGCUCAACCUUGGAAUUGCUUUUAAAACUGCUAACCUAGAGAUUGAAAGAGGAUAGAGGAAUUCCUAGUGUAGAGGUGAAAUUCGUAAAUAUUAGGAGGAACACCAGUGGCGAANGCGUCUAUCUGGUUCAAAUCUGACGCUGANNGCGAA